UAGGGAAUCUUCCACAAUGGGCGAAGGCCUGAUGGAGCAACGCCGCGUGUGUGAUGAAGGGUUUCGGCUCGUAAAACACUGUUGUAAGAGAAGAAUGACAUUGAGAGUAACUGUUCAAUGUGUGACGGUAUCUUACCAGAAAGGGACGGCUAAAUACGUGCCAG
rnacentral:rRNA from 1 species